UUCAGAUGUUCAAGCUCUUGUUCCUACUCUGUAACUUCAAUAACUCCAUUGUGGUGCCUUGUUACAGUAGCUGACUCAUCAGAAAUGAUGAAAAGUCUUACUCUAGUCUCCUCCGACUAGAAGACAGAAAUCCUGCUCUUCAUUUCUAGAAUGAAGAGACUAUAAGAAAGAAAUAAUGCUGAGACUGUAAACUCAGCCCUAAUGUGGGCAGGAGGUUGCCCCUAGAGCAUCUGUCUUGCUCCAGGCUUGAUGACGGACACGAGGGGAAAGGGUUGGGGUGGAAGGAAGACGGUUUGGUUUGUUAUUUCUGUGGAAAAGGACCUGCUGCAUCCCAGGCCCAGGGGACCAGGCUCUUACAUGCUUGUAGCUGGACUGAGUGUGCCCCAGACCCUGUGGACUGUCACCUUCACCAUGUCAUCCUACAAACUGUCUGUCAUUUUAGGAUCAUAUACCUCCUGCAAAGCAGCAUGCACACCUACACAAGAAUCUGUAUCCCUAGACCCUGUCUAUGGUGACAAGCAGGCACAUCUAAAGUACAAGUUAUUUCCUUUUAAAGACAUUUAAACUUAAGGAAGAAGAUUUCUACCUCUCACUCAAGAGACACAGUAUAGGGGAACUGGGCAGGUCAGAUGUUUAGCAGGUUUAGAGAAGCUAACCUUGUACAUCAGGGCACUAGGAACCUGUUACUCUGUGAAGAUGUCCAUAACACCCUUGGGCUGCUCCAGUCCCUUUCCCCUGCUGGUCUGUGGCUGGAGUCAAAAGUGAGUGCUGCAGCUCUGUGAUUAAUUCUCAUCUUCCCCAUGACUGAGGAAGGAACUUGGGGUCCCCAGGGGCAGUGGUUGUUUACUGCAGGACACAGCCCCGGAGGACUGGAGUCUGGUGAAUGUCUGCAGUGCUGUCUGAAACUCAGGGGUGAAACCGUGCUUGGUGGGAAAGAGCAGCAGCUCUGUGGGAGAUAAAUGCUCGAGGGAGAGGGUGUACCCAGAGAACAGCAGAGGAAGCAUGUGUGAGGCAGCAGCUGCAGAAACAGGCAGCGGGGAGGUGAGUUCUUCCAGCAAGAAUACAUCUGAGGAACCGCUACUGCACCCACCAUGAAAGCAUGGAGAAGAAAACCUCACCCUGUGGGGUCUGUUCACCAUUCUUUCUCCCAUGGUCAGCCCGGGACAAGCCACUAACUGAAUAAGGAGUGGGAAGCCUGCUGUGUAUUGGGAUCCCACUUGCACACAGAGGAAACUGUAGCACUGCCAAGACCCAAGUCACUUCCUGGUGACUGCACUGGCUCACACCUGCCUAAGCAAAAGUCAUGGUCCCUAAUCUCCACACAACUUGACUGCA